rnacentral:rRNA from 1 species
UUAAAAAGCUCGUAGUUGGAUUUCUGUCGAGGACGGCCGGUCCGGACUUUGUGCUGUAUCUGGUUCGGUCUGGCUCCUCUUGGGGAACGUUUCUGUGCUUCGUUGCAUGGGACGGAUUCAGACUUUACUUUGAGGAAAUUAGAGUGUUCACGCAAGCUUUCGCUUGAAUACAUUAGCAUGGAAUAAUAAUAUAGGGCGUAAGUUCUAUUUUGUUGGUUUCUAGGACAUACGCAAUGAUUAAUAGGGUCAAUUGGGGGCAUUCGUAUUAACACGUCAGAGGUGGAAUUCUUAGAUUGUGUUACGACGAACUACUGCGAAAGCAUUUGCCAAGGAUGUUUUCAUUGAUCAAGAACGAAAGUAUGGGGAUCGAAGAC